AAAAAAGUUCACAUUUUUACUACUAACUCAAACCUAAAAAAUCAAGAAAACCAAAAGGGUAUACAAGAAAGAGAGCAUUAGACUAGAUUAAAAUUUUACAAGGGUGGGGACUAUUAUCAAUAAUGAGAUCUUCUCUUGUUUUUUUUUCUUGUGUUUGAGCUUUUUUUUAUUGCUUCAUUGACAAUUGGGGUUUCUACCAGGGCCUCCAUAGUAAAAGUGAUGGCCCCAAUCUUCAUUACUACCUGUUUGGACAUCAUAACAGUUGGAUUGCUCAGUGAAGGUGCCAAGAUCUUUUGGAGAUUUAAGAUUAUUUGAGCUGUCAACAACUUGAAUGUUUCUGAAAUAACUUGACUUGCCAAAACCUUCUUCUGGGAAUCUACCACUUCCCAUUUGUGUAGCUGUAUGUUUACCAUCUGGUUGUGAAUUCACCACUUCACCACCCCACUCUAUCAUUGAUGCACUCUCUGCUAAAUAGGAAAACAAGAAAGAUGGCCAAUACCCUAACACAUAGUCGUUUCCAAAUUGCAUCCACCAAUGUCCUUCUUUCGGAUCCUUCCAGAUAAGAAUACUGAUAUCAUACUGAGAGUUUCUCAAGGCUGAAACAGGAGAGAUACUUGCUCCCAUAGCUAUAGCACUGCUAACUUGAAUGAAACCUGAGCAAAGAAGGUUGUAGCAACCUGUU
rnacentral:misc_RNA from 1 species